rnacentral:rRNA from 1 species
UACGAAGGGGGCUAGCGUUGCUCGGAAUCACUGGGCGUAAAGGGUGCGUAGGCGGGUCUUUAAGUCAGGGGUGUAAUCCUGGAGCUCAACUCCAGAACUGCCUUUGAUACUGAGGACCUUGAGUUCGGGAGAGGUGAGUGGAACUGCGAGUGUAGAGGUGAAAUUCGUAGAUAUUCGCAAGAACACCAGUGGCGAAGGCGGCUCACUGGCCCGACACUGACACUGAGGAGCGAAAGCCAGGGGAGCAAACGGG